AAUAAGGACUUCUCAUGAACUCUUCUCUUUUGUCUCUUCGAUCGUUCUUCUUUCUCUUUUUCCCUGUCCAUACUUUUCUCUAAACAGAUAAACCCAAACAAUUGAAUCUUCGACUAGGUUCGAACAAUUAAUGAAGGAGAUCAAGAAUUCAAUCGAUUGUGUUUCACUUAUUCGAUUAGGACAAUGACAUAUAGGAGACCCCGACGAAUUUUCAUCUCAUCAAGGCUGUAACAUUAAUAAUUCCUCAAGACUUCUUCUACCUCCGGCAAGGUGUAUUCCCAGUUAAGCAUCCACUUCCUGCAUUCGAUGGUACACGGUGUUGGGCAAGUACAUAUCUUGGGGUCUGCUGGCAUAAGUGUGACAGGCCGAAGAAGUGCGGAAAUCGCAGGUUAAAGACAAAGAUGAACACUACCGGAAAUUGUUUCAAGAAUGAAAAAUGCGGAUAGAAUAGACUUUUGCUUUGACGACGUGCAACGCACGUGCACUCUACUUGUACUCUUAAGGCUUGUAAGGCAUCAUCCUUACCCCUAAGCAAGUAUACAAGAUAGUACCUCGUACAAUCAUCUAAGAAAAUUAUGAACCACCUUUUACCAUCUUAAUUUGGGUUGAUUUCAUGUCAACUAGGUCUAACUAAAUUAAUUUUAAGGGUUUAGAAUUACUCAAAACAAUUUUGCUAAAAGGUUUUAUAUCAUAUUUUGAUUCGUCAGAGAUUUCA